CACCCAUAAGGAAGGGGAGGGGGGAGGGGGAUGUUUGCCCGGAAACCGGGAAAGGGAAUAACACUCGAAAUGUAUAUAAGAAAUACUCAAGUUAAUAAAAAAAAAAGUGUUUAAUUUGGAAAAAAAAAAGAAUAUGGGUGUUAGUAUAUUGAAAGUCUGUAAGUUUAGCUAGCAAAAUUAACUCAGAACAACAAUAAAACCAAGAACAAUAUCCAUUAAUGCUAAGAAGAAAGAUCUAUCUAUCUAUCUAUCUAUCUAUCUAUCUAUCUAUCUAUCUAUCUAUCUAUCUAUCUCUAGCAUCCAUGUCAUCUCUCUAUCAUCUAUCUAUCAUCUGUGUCAUCUAUCUAUCUUACAACAAAAUCUUUAUAAUGUUAAUGAAAUUGAAAUGCAUCUACUAUGAUUAAAAAUACCCUGUUGCUAUACAUACUUCUCUCUUUCUUUCUCUCUGUCUCCGUCUCCGUCUCUGUAUCUCUCUCUGUCUCUGUCUCUGUCUCUGUCUCUCUCUCUCUCUCUCUCUCUCUGUGUGUGUGUGUGUGUGUGUGUGUGUGUGUGUGUGUGUGUUUUGCUUCUUUUAAUCAUCCAAUAAUGGCAGUUGGUUUCAGUGGUUAUGGUCUACUUUGGAGCACUCGGUCUUAUAUGGGAUUUCUUUAGCAAACCCUCAAGGCUCAGGGAUCGAUGCAGAAGGGGAGGUGGAAAGAAUGUCCUAGCAGAGGUGGUAGAUGACUCCAAAGUCAUAGUAUCUUCCAGACUCAGCAGGAUUGAUGAACAUAUGGACUCAGAUACUCUGGCAGUACACGUUGGGCCUGCACAGGUUCAAAUCAGACAUAAUGCCAGCAUUGAGAGGGGGAAAUGGAUACAACAUUAAUCUAGCCAAGAAUCUAUUUGCAAUUGAUACUGUCUUAGUUAGGGUCUUAUUGACAGGUUCAGAGGUUCAGUCCAUUAUCAUCAAGGUGGGAACAUGGCAGCAUCGCAGCAUCUAGACAGACAUGAUGCAGAAGGAGCUGAGUUCUACAUCUUCACCCGAAGGAAGCCAGGAACAGACUGAGCAUCCUCAGCUCAGCUAAUAGGAGCAGCUAGUAGGAGGGUCUCCAGGUCCACCCUCACAGUGACACACUUCCUCCAAGGCCACACCUUCUAAUAGUGCCACUCCUUGGGCCAAACAUAUGCAAACCAUACAGAUACCUUCUGGGGAAAGGAACAAUAAUUUUCCCCAAUGGAGAGUCAUUGUAUAUCAACCAAAUUCCAGGGCAAGCCCCAAGCCCAGGAGUAGUUGGCCAGCACAUGGAGUGUGUGUGUGUGUGUGAGUGUGUGUGUGUGUGUGUGUGUGCACGCGCGUGCUCGCGCGUGCUCGCGCGUGCUCUCUCUCUCUUUCUCUUACUGUUUUCUUCUGUUUUUUUUCCUUUUGUUAUUGUUUGUCUGUUUUGAUUUCAUUGUUGGUGGGUUUAUUUUUUUGAGAAAGAGAACAUGAAGUUUGUAGGUAGGGAGGUGGGGAGGAGUUGAGAGGAGGGGGAGGGAUAUGAUCAAAAUACUGUGUGUAAAAAAACCUUUUAAUAAAAAUUAAAAAAGAUAAAAGAAUACACAGAGGUGAUAGUCUCCUCUGCCUUUGAAUGUGCCAUUUGGAACUACUGUGGAGUCAACCACAUGGAGAACUAACCUGAAGGCAAAAUGAGUCACCUCUGAAAUGGCAGAACAGACACAGAGAGAAUAACCUAGAUUCUUAGUUCUGGCGUUGACUAGUAAGUCAGUUGACUGCAGUCAGCCUGCCCCUAGCUUCUUCUUUGUAGUAACAAACUAUCUUUUUAUUGCAGCAUUAGAGAGGUAUAAUUGGUAAAUAAAUUUCCCAUGCAUUUAAGGUGCAUGAUUUUGUAUUUUGUAAUACAUAUAUACACUGUGAACUGAUCAUGGAGACCAAGCUAAUUAACAUUCAUUACCCACACUAUUAUCUAUUCCCUUUGGUUAAGAUCAUUGGUUCUACCACAGACCUUAGCACAGCUCGACGAUACAGUACAAUAUUGUUAACCACUCUAUGUUUAUCAAGGUACGUUUAUAUGCAUUAAAAUAUAACCACCUGGGCUAAAUGGAGCACAUCUACCAUUCCAACACCUAAGAGGUUGAAGCAGAAAAAUUACGAGUUCAUGGUCAGGUUACCAGUGGCUUAAAGGCCAGUGUGUGCUCCAUAGGUAGCCUCUGUCUCCAACUAGAUAGGUUAAAUAAAUAAAUAAAUUAUGUAGAAUUCUGAAGAGUUUUGACAAGUGUAGUUGAGUUGUUUACUUGUUAUGCAUUGCAGAAGCAGAUCCCUGAUUAAAUUAUUCAUUUUAUUCAGAAAACACUUAUUGUGCAUUAACUAUGCCAGCCAGGUUCUAUGCAGGAUUUAAAAUGAGACAGGCAUGGCCCUAUGCCUCAGGGAAAUGCUCAUUUAUUUUGUAAGGAAUGUAGAAAUGAAGGAUGCUUCCAUAAGAACAUUACCUUGAAAAACGUGACAGAACUUUUGUUUCUUCAUUUUUUUCUCUCUUCCAAUAAGCAUCUGUUAAAAGCUUCUUCUGUGUCUGUCUCUGAUGAUAUCUAGAUAUAUGAAACCACAAAAUGCUCACAUGAAGGCAGGAGUUUACAUUAAAACUUAGGCUAAAAUAAAAUCUAUUCUAGUCAGAGUUCCUAUAUAUCUUUUUAUCAGUACAUUGGUCGCAGCCAAGAUAGACUUGCACUUUGUAGUAGAGUCUCAUUUAUCAGACCCCUGAGGGAGUUAAUCAAUGUCUGGUUUUCUCCUCUUUGUGAUCCCAGAAUAAUUAGAGUCUAAUCUUGUUAUAGGAAGGGCUCAGUAUAAGCAUUUCUUGAAUAAACUAAAUAUCCGUAAUAUAAAUGAGGCAGCUUUAGUGAGCCUUGAAGAUUGCAGCACGUUCUCCCUUAAAGUGUAGAUUCCCUGGCUAAUAUAAUAUGAUUAAGCAAACAUCAAAGGCACAGAUAUUCGUGGAAAUGAACUUAAAUCGGAAAGUUGUUGUUCACAACUAUUUCUUACUCUGGCCCUCUCAGCCAUUAUUUAAAAUGAAUCAGAUAUCCUCUCUCUCUCUCUCUCUCUCUCUCUCUCUCUCUCUCUCUCUCAUUUGUAGAGGAGAAUAAAAAAAGAAGAGAAAAAGAGGAAAGGAAAGGAACAGAAAUGAGGAAAGGAGUCAUCGCUAGCAUUUGAUGAAGAGACAUUGUUUUCUAUCUUACUGAUGUUUGGCCAAAUGAUAAUGAUAUCCCAUUGACCUUCAUCUAGAGGUCAUGUGCCAUGUUGUCUGAAUCUAGCCUUGUCAAAUACCUAUAUAAGUCUCCAUAACAGCCCAGUCUAACAACUAUUCUGGUAGCUAUAAUCUACCACCAUGCUAUGGCUUAGCGACUGGUAUUUGGGAACUUCUGAAGUUGCUAGGAUAUGAAUGAUAUGGUUGGUUUUCCAUAACGGUCUUGUUAAAUCUGUAAUGUUCUCAAACACAAACUCCAAGAACUAGUAAUGCAGACACCACACCUCUUCUUAAAUGGGAUGCACAGCACGACAGCCAGUCAUUUCUUUAUGGGCAUUUGAAGGGGAACAAAGAGACGUUCUUCAAUUGCACCGGCAGUGACCUGAAGCCUUGUCCUUACACUAGCUCUGAACGGUUAGAGUCUUUGUGUUGUCACCUAGGUGCAGGGGCCAGUGGAGGCCUUCAGAUAAAGUUGGAAUCAUGAGGCCCAAGUUCCCAGACUUUAUCAUCCAACCACGGUGGGUUUGAGACCUAAACUUAGAUCCUCUGCAAGGGCAAUAGAUCAGCACACACUUUUAACUGCUGAGACAAUUUUCCAGUUCCAUAAUGUCCAACAUUUUUACUUUUAAGGUUGCUAGGGAGAACCCAAUUCAAAUACCAGAUCUUCUGCCACCUUAUCCUCCAUCUUGGUAAGAGGCUUAGGAGACUAAGAGUUGGAAGAGUCGCCUGGGUUGUAGAAUAAGCCGUCUGUCUUUCCCACUCAAGGGAAGGGCGAUUAUUCAAUAGGUAUUAAGUUGUGAGUCCUAGAUACACUCACCCAAAAAGAUGCCUGAGCAUUGUAAAUACCAAGAACUUCUGCAAGCCAUUCCUGGUUAUCUAUUUAAUUAGAAUGGUUAGCCAUUCUAAUUAUCUAUCAGGCUCUCUGAACUGUAGUAACAGUUCACUGUUAUGCUGUGCAGUAGCCAGCAUAAGGGGAGCAGAACUAGGAGAAGCAGUGUGUGGGAUAGUCUGCCAAAGAAGGGUAUGAAGAUGCGGCCUUAAAACCUUUCAGUCCAGAAAACAUGGUACUGAGCACUCACUGUGGCAAAAGAGACGAGACUGGGAACCCAAGGAAGAUGAACUGUGGAGGGAAAUGGGUGUGCCCAAAGGAAGGCUGCGACAUAAAGGUGGAGGUCAGAUUAGCAGAGUCCUUUUAUAAGAGAUAAUACUCAGAGAGCCACUCAGGAGCAAGGCUGGUCAGUGUGGCUGGUAGGUGGGAAUCUGUGCUUGAAGCUAUCAAGCACCACAGUGCAUCCUGCAUACAACGGACCAGUCCAACAUAGCCACAUGUGUGCAGCAACCUCUUCCAGAUGGAUACUAAGGAUAGAUAUGUGGCUAAUGAUGAUGGAUGGAUGGAUGGAUGGAUGGAUGGAUGGAUGGAUGGACAGACAGAUGGAUAGAUAGGGAAACAUUUUGUACAUGGGUGAAAUGGAUUUUUAGGACGUUGAAGCUUGUGAGAUCCCACAAUCUGUCAUCUGUAAGCUAGUAAAGCAGUCACGAGUCAACACCAGUCUAAUGGUCUGAGAACCAGAGCACCUCUGCUGCCAGGCCCUGAGCCAGCACCAGGAAGACUAAUGUUGAAAGGUAGGACAGGGUGUAUUCUCAAGGAGGUGUGUGUGCUGGAGGAGGAAGGAGAGCGGAGGGGUGUGGGUGUGGGUGUGGGUGUGGGUGUGGGUUUGGGUGUGGGAAUGAGACUCUGAGGGUGAUACCAAGAUGAGUCAUACUCCCACCUUUGGAUUCUAUCUGAUCCUCGGUGCAUUAGAUGGUGACAUCCACCUCACAAUGGCAAGGGUGAUCAUUACUUUGCUGAUUCAAAUAUGAAUGUCUUUCAGCCUUGCUCUCAAACAGGCACACUUAGAAAUGUUGCUUUACCAACUCUGCCUGGACAUCCUUUAACUCAAGCAAAUGAACACAUUAAACUGACCCUCCUAAGAAUCCCAAUCAAUUAACCUCUCCUCAAGGCUAAAGGUCUAGAAUAGUGUCAAUAAGACCAUACCAGCUGACUUUAACUGGGCAAGACCGGGAAGCAAAAGGGUAGGAAGAAAGAUCAAGGGUCACCAUCCCUCCUUGUCCAGACAAGCUGUGUCUGAUCGUGGGCUUAAAAAAAUGCAUGCAUGCCUAAUAUUCAGUACUGCUGCUGCAAUGUACUGGUCAUGUUCUGAAUGUAGGGUCAUGUCCUGAAGCACACUCUUCCAAUGCUAGGAUGGCCUCUUUGUCACGUUCCUGGGAGACCUUUAGAACCAAGGAGCUUAGGUGGCCCAACUUCAAGGGAGGGGAGCAUGAACUCUGGUUCCUGACUAAAACAAAGACUCAUGGAGGUGAGAAGAGGGGAGGAUGGAAGGAAAAUCAACAAAGCAGCCAGAGGCAUGGCCUCUCUGUGGGAACACCCCAAACAGAUCUAUCAGAAUCAAGUGCCUUGUGGAGCCUUGCUACAGAAGAUUCUGUUAUCAGAGAACAUAGAUGAUCCCUGUUCCGGAUGUAGAUUAAAGUCUAGUCAACAGAGAUAAUUUAAUUGGAUGGCAAUGGUAGUUUUAUAAUAAAAGUCAUGUAAAGCUUUAAAGCUAUCAUUUACAAGACUGACCUGGAAGCUGUUUGUUUUGCCUUUGUGAAGCCUUGAGUUCUCCCACUUCUGCUGCUGUGAUAGCUCCAGGGUUCUGCACUGGCCCCUCUUGUCUUUUACUUGCAUUUACCUAACAGAAUGAUCCUGGGAUCCACACACAUGUACAGUCCUUAAUCACCUUCAGAUCCUUCCUGGAAGGAGCCAAUGUGAUGUGGUGGUCCUUCUUGGAGAGCUGCACUGGAUGAAGUAGCCUAUGCUUGUGCAGUGCUUAGUAGCUGGAGUUAGAAGAGACAGACAGAUAGACCAAUGGAACAGAAUUGAAGACCCAGAAAUGAACCCACACACCUAUGGGCAUUUGAUUUUUGACAAAGGAGCCAAAACCAUCCAAUGGAAAAAAGAUAGCAUUUUCAGCAAAUGGUGCUGGUUCAACUGGAGGUCAACAUGUAGAAGAAUGCAGAUCGAUCCAUGCUUAUCACCCUGUACAAAGCUUAAGUCCAAGUGGAUCAAGGACCUCCACAUCAAACCAGAUACACUCAAACUAAUAGAAGAAAAACAAGGGCAGCAUCUCGAAUACAUGGGCACUGGAAAAAAUUUCCUGAACAAAACACCAAUGGCUUAUGCUCUAAGAUCAAGAAUCGACAAAUGGGAUCUUAUAAAACUGCAAAGCUUCUGUAAGGCAAAGGACACUGUGGUUAGGACAAAACGGCAACCAACAGAUUGGGAAAAGAUCUUUACCAAUCCUACAACAGAUAGAGGCCUUAUAUCCAAAAUAUAAAAAGAACUCAAGAAGUUAGACCGCAGGGAGACAAAUAACCCUAUUAAAAAAUGGGGUUCAGAACUAAACAAAGAAUUCACAGCUGAGGAAUGCCGAAUGGCUGAGAAACACCUAAAGAAAUGUUCAACAUCUUUAGUCAUAAGGGAAAUACAAAUCAAAACAACCCUGAGAUUGUGGGUAUAUGCCCAAAAGAUGCCCCAACAUAUAAAAAAGACACGUGCUCCACUAUGUUCAUAGCAGCCUUAUUUAUAAUAGCCAGAAGCUGGAAAGAACCCAGAUGCCCUUCAACAGAGGAAUGGAUACAGAAAAUGGAUACACAAUGGAAUAUUACUCAGCUAUCAAAAACAAUGCCUUUAUGAAAUUCAUAGACAAAUGGUUGGAACUGGAAAAUAUCAUCCUGAGUGAGGUAACCCAAUCACAGAAAAACACACAUGGUAUGCACUCAUUGAUAAGUGGCUAUUAGCCCAAAUGCUUGAAUUACCCUAGAUGCAUAGAACACAUGAAACUCAAGACGGAUGAUCAAAAUGUGAAUGCUUCACUCCUUCUUUAAAAGGGGAACAAGAAUACCCUUGGCAGGGAAUAGAGAGGCCAAGAUUAAAACAGACACAGAAGGAACACCCAUUCAGAGCCUGCCCCACAUGUGGCCCAUACAUAUACAGCCACCCAAUUAGACAAGAUGGAUGAAGCAAAGAAGUGCAGGCCGACAGGAGCCGGAUGUAGAUCUCUCCUGAGAGACACAGCCAGAAUACAGCAAAUACAGAGGCGAAUGCCAGCAGCAAACCACUGAACUGAGAAUAGGACCCCCGUUGAAGGAAUCAGAGAAAGAACUGGAAGAGCUCGAAGGGGCUUGAGACCACUUAUGAACAACAAUGUGAAGCAACCAGAGCUUCCAGGGACUAAGCCACUACCUAAAGACUAUACAUGGACUGACCCUGGACUCUGACCUCAUAGGUAGCAAUGAAUAUCCUAGUAAGAUCACCAGUGGAAGGGGAAGCCCUUGGUCCUGCUAAGACUGAACCCCCAGUGAACGUGAUUGUUGGGGGGAGGGUGGCAAUGGGGGGAGAAUGGGGAGGGGAACACCCAUAAAGAAGGGGAGGGGGAGGGAUUAGGGGCAUGUUUGCCCGGAAACCGGGAAAGGGAAUAACACUCGAAAUGUAUAUAAGAAAUACUCAAGUUAAUAAAAAAAAAAAGGAAAAAAAAAGAAGGAAUCUCUGUGAGCAAAGAUCUGUGUGCCUUUGUAUACAGCAGUCUUCUCUGCAUCUAGAACAUUUCUAGGUACAAAGCAGGUGCUCAGUACAUAACCUGACACUGAAUGAGGGCACUUGAUGUGAUGGUUCGAAUGAGAAUGGCCCCAAUAGGCUCACAGGUUUGAAGCUUGGUUCCCAGUUAGUGGAACUAUUGGGGGAGGAUUAAGAGGUGUGGCCUUGUUGGAGGAGGUGUGUCACUGGGGUUGGGAUUUUAGGCUUCAAAAACCUAAGCCCCCUCACCCCCCAUGGAUCAGGGUUUAAAGUUCUCAAGACCACCAUGAUAAUCAUGAACUAACACAUGAAAACUAUAAACGACCCCCCUAAUUAAAUGUCUUUUCUUAAAUAUGAGAGUUGCCUUGGUCAUGGUGUCUCUUCACAGCAAUAAAAACAAUAACUAAGAUACUUGGUUUGCAGAAAGGGUUGCCUCUUGCAUUUCUUCUUUAGAGUUAAGCUGCUUCCUGUUUUAUUUGGGACUGAAUCAAAGCAGGUCAGGGCCAUCUACACAUACCUUUCCUUUUUCCUGCACAUAUUUUUCAUCUUGUCCCCGAAGCCUAGAGAACAUCCUUAAGGUGGUUGACAUGCGUAUUUGCCUGUUUCUCACUCUGUCUGUGGAGCACUCCCGUAAGGCUCCUCCUGCACUAUCACUCGCAGCCACCCGAGCUUCAACAGCACCAGGUUCACGUCACCUCGGAUCACAUUACUCAGCCAGUGAGUUACACUGUGUUCUUGGUUUUAGGCCUUCACAUAAGAUAGUCUUCCUUCCUCCCCCCCCCCCCAGUAGCUUUAUUCUCUUGAUACCAGUUAGAUCUUCAACCUUCAGAUUAGAUGCAACUUUCAUUGAUUUUCUCAUCUAGAUAAGGUACCCUUAUUAUAAGUUCCCAUAAUGCUCCACGCAUCCCCUUCAUGUCUUUUAAGCACAUGAGUUUGUCUUUGUCCUUCUGAUGUUUUGUAGAAUUCUUGAAAGGCAGGACUGACUCUGUCUUUGUCUCUUUGUCUCUCUGUCUCUCUGUCUCUCUCUCUGUCUCUCUCUCUCUCCCUCUCUCUCUCUCUCUCUCGCUCUCGCUCUCGCUCUCUCACUGUUUUAUUCAGCAUGCUAUCCCCGUAGCCAAUAAAUGCUCACAAAGAUAUAUGUAAACAAACAUCACACAAAGAACAUACAGAAGCAAGCGCUAUACCGGGUUGUACAGAUCUGGUUUCCAGACUAAUGGUCUUAGGUCAAGGAAUCUACCUUCUUAGAUAAAAAAAUCUUAGAGCCUUAAUUUUUGUUAUUCAGAAGCCUUUCUGUUAAGGUCAAUUUGGACACAGCAUGAGACAUGAUUCUAAGAGUGACUCUUUCAUAAACAAUCUUAAUCAGUUUAAUGAUUCCCAUUACAGAGAUGUACAAUCCAUAUCAGAGGUGGGGCAUUGGCCAGAUCUGAUCCAGGAUAGGGUACCAAGGAUGAUAGGACCCACGACAUGAGGCACAGAUAGUGGGAGCAGAGAGUAUGAUGACCUGGCAUUGAGCAUGGGGACCCACACCAUGUGUAAUAGAAGCAGGACCCAGGCAGUGGUAUGUUCACUCUGGAUAACUAUUAUUGUAGACAGUAGCUGAUUCUCAGAGAAAGACUAAUCCUCAGGGCCUGUAUUUCAGAAUGUCGGUCCCAUUGAAGAAAAUAAUACCCCAACCCUACUAAUACUUGAACUUCUCCUGAACAUUGCAAACACAUCCACAGAAAGAAGAAAGACAACUUGAACAAAAAAAAAAUGGAAAACAAAACAAACCAAAAUACCCAAAAAGGCUCAACCAAUAAACAAACUCUAGAUGUCCAGGUACCAGAGCAGAAAGAAGGACAUGAAAAACCGAGACACAAUUCCUCUGAGGUUACCAAUCCCUCACAAUGCCCCUAGAAGAAUGACUUAGAAAACUUCUAGACAAAAACUUCAGAAGAGUAAUUUUAAACAUGCCCCAGCAACUCAAAAAAGACAUAAGUACACUCCAAGAAAACAAAACCACUAGAGACUAAUGAUUUCGUUAUAAAAUGUGAUUAAUUAUUAAUAAGGUUGAACACCAAAAUAAGCUGCCCUCAUUUAUCCAUUUAGAACAGGUAGUAGUCAACAAGUGGCUGAUAACGUUUCCUUCACCGUACUUUAAUGGAACUAUACUCUCUGCCUCCAAAUUUGUGAUAACCAAUUAGUGUAAGAUAGUAGUAUAAUUAGUACCUGGGAAGGAGAAAAAUAUUAGAAGUGUAUACAGAGAAGUUGUGUGAACAUAGGAAACCAUGCCAGAUAAAGGGAAGAAACAAUGGAUUUGCCUUUCGGAGCCAUGUGUGAAUGGAUUUGUAGAGGAGUUUUUGAAGGAUCUAGAACUACACCAUACUUCGUUUCCUCUCUCGGUUUUAGAUACUGAUACAAUGCCCUGGCUGCUUUGUUUUGGAGAUAAUCUCUUCUAUGCCUGGAGCCAUUUCUAGGACAAUGUGACUCAGUGAACGCUGGAUUACCUCUGACUUGAUGGUACCUGUGAAUCACCCAUUGAAAGUUGGAAAUGUUUAAUGAUUAGAUUUUAGAGAUCAUAGAAGGUGAGAAAACAGUCUAAGUUAGAUGAUAGACACUUAAUAUUGAUCGGUGUUUAGUUACCACCAGUAACUGGACUCUGGGACAAUUCUAUUUCUCUGCUGUUGUUUCCCUAUUGUAAGAAACAGUUUGUUCUUAUGACUGAGGGGGAGUUAGUGUCUCACACUGAGGUCCCUCUAGGGUUACUGGGUAAGCUGGUCACCAUUACCACUGUUUUCAUUUGGUUUUGCCUGUGUAGAAUUAAGGUGUUGUUAUCACCCCUUGGGCUGACAGUAUUUCUUUAUGCGUUAGGUUUUAUUUUCAUAUUCUUUCAUUGGUUCCUUUAACAUUGGUAACUCGUAACCAUUUUAAAGAUGAAGGAAACUAAAUUAACUCUCAGCUCUAUAAAGAAACUUCCCACAGUUUUACAUAACGGAAUUUUGACAGCAAAGAUGUAAAAGAAAUUGAUACAGUUUGGAGUCAAUGAGUGCCAGCUGGCUGAUGGGCUGGUUGUUCCUGUGUUUUCCUGUUGUCAACUAACACAACAUAUUGGCCUCUAUCUGAGAGACACAGAGUUUGGCUAAUUCCAUGUAGUUGACAGCAAUGCAGCCAUACUAGAUACUUUAGUGUUCGAUGACUGCGAUACCGGACAGAAACAGUUUACAGGAUUAAACCAUUUUUAUCAGUUUGCAGUUUCAGAGUUCAGUCCAUCAUAGAGAAUUCAUGACUACUCAGUUCAGGGCAGCAGGAGAGUGUGGCGGAGGCUGUUUACAUUACGGUUGACCAUGAAGCCAGAACACAGAAGAACAAAAUUCAAACUGGAAACACAUUUCACUCUCCUGACACAGAAGGCCGCCCACCAGGAAACAGGGCCAUUUGCUGACUUGGAACUUCAGGCUUCCAUUUCCCCAAUCCUUGUUCUGAUAGAGAGGGCGCUAGCUUCAGGAACAGUCACUGCUACAGAUACAUCGCAAAUCACAGCAGAAAGUCGGGCUCGCCACAUCCCCGUCUCUAAAGCUGAUACCACCUUUAUGACAAUACAAAGAUGCAUGUGUGCCCUGUCAGAUCAAGAUGUGAACUCUUAGCUGUUCCUGCAACCAUGCCUUCACUUCACCAUCAUAGACCUAAUCCUCUGAAACCAUAAACCUAAUUAAACAAUUAAAUGCUUUCCUUUAUAUGUUGACUUGAUCAUGGUGUUUGUCAGAAGUAGAAAAGUGACUAAGACAAUAGUCAAAUACAUUAUUUUUGUGAGCCAAUAAUUUUAUAUUAUUAUACAAAGAUUCAAGCCAGAGAGAAGUAAUUAAUUCACUUUAAGUAAAUAUUCUCCUCAAUAAUCUGAGUUGGACUCAUCCAAUGACUGAAAAGGACCUAAAGGAAAAACGAAACUUAUCUUAAUAGAAGACAUUUGCUGAGAACUAGAGUGUCAGCUCCCAUUCAAAGAUUUUCAGCAUCUUUGGUUGUCCCUACAGUCACAUAAGACGAUCUUUUAAAACAAAAUUUAUUAUCACACCGAAACUAUUCUGUUUUCCUUUAUAGAACUGACAUGGAUUUUUUUUAAUAUGAGGGAGCAAAAUUCUGCUAUAAUAGACACAAAUCUUUAGGAGUAGCUUUUGAAUUGGGUAACAGGAACAGGCGCGAUAGGAAAAUCUGAUGUUGAGCUUUCAUAGUACUGGAAUGUGUCAUUGAGUUGCUAGGAGCAGAGAGGAGGCAUCAUCAGCUUAACCCAGCUCUGAACUCUGUGAAUUACAAUAAUGAUUAGUUUGGAAAGAUAUGCACAUGGGUACAAUAGCUGCAUGAACUCCUAGAACCCAUGGUUGUUUGCAGAAUAUCUACAUAAGAUCAAGCCAGUCAGAAUUUUAGCAUGGAGUGAGGAAGAGUUCAUGGGCCUCCAGUCAUAGCUAAGGAUCCACAGAUAGAUGAUUGUUUUCUAGUGGAACUAGCAUACGUCUUCUUUAUGAUCGUAGUCCCUGGAAGAGUGAUCACAUUUCAGUGGAUGGCCUCAUAUCUAUGAGUAUAUGAGCAGCACAAACUAAACUCAAUGGAUUAAUCUUUUAAAAGAGGACAAGAAUUUUGGAGUUGUGGAGAUGUAGGAGUGGAUCUGAUGGAGUUAAGAAUGAGGAAGGGGAUGAUUAUUAUCAAAACACAUUGUAUGAAAUUCUCAGAAGAAUUAGUGAAAGCUUAAAGGACAAAGAAAUAUCUAAUGUUGCCUUGAAGAGCUAGAAAAAAGGAAUCUUAGGUCAGGUCCCAGAAGCAAAUGAGGUCAUAUUGGAAAGUACAGAAAGACAACACUUUUGAUAAAGUGGUAGAAAAUUUGUCUUGUUAGGUGGAAGCCGCAAAUAAUGAAGUUGGACAUUUAUCAGAAAAGAUUUUUCAAGCAAUGUGUGGAAGGGGUUGUCUGGUUUCUCUUUGCCAUGUAGAGAAAAUAAGAGAGGCAGGAAGAGAGUAAAGAAGAAAUUCUUAAGCAUUAGCCUUGGAUGAUUUAAGAGAUUUUUCUUGUUAUCCAGAUUGCAAAGAAUGCUGAAAAGAAGAAAUGUGCUGUUAAGCAAAUGUGCUCUGGAGAGACAGCCAAGGGCACAUGAGGACAGUCUUUGGAGAGAUUAGGCAUUCGACUCAUGGAUACACUCCCUCAUGUUGGAAGAAGCCAGAAAUAGUGAAGGGCUGCCUUAUCAAAGUAUAUGUGGGAAACUAUUGUCUCUCCGAGUGACUCUCCUUGGUAUACACAGAUGGCCUAUGCUGUCUUGGAGGAUUAUACCCAGGAACAUCUUAGUCUGAAAUUGAACAGAGGAUGGACAAAAUGAAAAAGUAUUUUCAGAUUCUCUUAAUUAAUGAUAAAUUCUGCAGCUGCACAGAUGUGCCAGCCGUCAGGAAUGACUCACUGGAUAGAGCCCUGGGCCCAGGGCUAGGGGUGAUAAUGCAGCUGCUGAGGGCACAGGCACAGGAGCUGUGGUCCCAGAGGAUGGACCUGAGAACCAAAGAGGAGCGCUCAGGGACACUGAAAUCCAGAGGGUUUUUUCUUGCUUAGUUUUGGAUGUGUGUUACACCGGAGCACCCCUUAAUUCCGUCCAUUUUCUCCCUUCUGGGGUGAAAACAUGUAUGUUUUACCCGUGUGUUUUAGAGACAGGAAACUUAUUUUCUGGUUAAUUCAGUCCAUCAUAGGAAAAUGAUCUCUCUGCUCAAGAUGGAGUAUUCUCAGAGUGUUGCCUAUAUGUGACUUAGAUGACCUAGGUGGUUAGAGGGAGGGCUUUUGAGAGGUAAUCUACAUCACAUUUUGCAUUUCAACUUGUGGGGAUUUAAAACAUUUUGAUCACACUGGCUAGUUUGACAUUAACUUGACACAAGUUGGAGUCAGCUAACAAAACGAAACCUCAACUGAGAAAAACGCCUCCACAGGUCCGUCUGUAGGGCACUUUCUUAGUUAGUCACCAACGGAGUAGGGCCCAGCCCCUUGUGAGUCAUCCCUAAGCUGGAGUUAAGUUCAUGGGGUCUGGGUGACACAGAUUUCAUUUUACUGGAACAGAGGUGCUAUGAUGGCUUUAAGUUGAAGCAGAGGAAACAAAGACAAUUCCUUUAAGGAGCUCCACUCUGAAGAGGAAGAGAUACAGAGUAGAGAAAUCACUGGAGCAGCAGUUCUCAAGCUUCCUGUCCCCGUGUUCUUUUAAUGUAGCUCCUCCUGAUGUGACAGCCCUUUAGUUCCUCCUGUUGCGGUGAACCCCAAACAUAAACUCUUUUGUUACUACUUCAUAGCAGUAGUUUCCCUACCGUUGUGGAUUGUAGUGUAAAUAUCGGAUAUGCAGGGUACCUAGAGGCUACCCCACAAAGAGGUCGAGACCCACAGGCUGAGAACCACUGCGCUGGAGUGUAACCAUUUAAGGAUGGGUUAAUCAUAGGAAAGUUUUAAACAACAUUUUAAUGAUGUAGCCAUAAAGACAAAGACAUGUUAAAAAUAAGCUAGUGUGUGUAUGUGUGAGUGUGAGUGUGUGUGUGUGUGUGUGUGUGUGUGUGUGUAUGUUUGUUUCAUUCUCUUAUCCAAGAUAGCUUCUGGGCAGGUGGGCAUGCAUGCGACCCGCCAGGAGCCAAAGCAGUGAAGCAAAAACUCCUGCUCUCGCUCUCUCGCUACAUUGUAAAGAUAUUUAUUAUACUCUUUCCCUCACUUUGUAUACUUGUUGCUUGCUAUGAGGUCUUUCUGAAUCCCAGGGAGGGGUUGCAGAGAAGUGAAAUUUUCAGUGCCCAAACUGAAAUAACCCCAAGUGAAUUCAGAGGAUCGUGUCUUCUAGCAUUAAAAGAGGUCCUUGCAUUUUGAGAGGUUUGACUCCACUUCUUGUAGGUGAGUGACAUUGAGAGACAGCCCUGCAUUCUUACAACUGUGCAUAACUACCCUCACUCCUGAAGAAUCUGCAAUGGAAUCCUGGGUGUCCUAGGGUGUUUUUUCGGGGGUGAGACAUCAGGGCGACUCCUAUGGAGGAAAACAUCUAAGUGGGGCUGACCUACAGUUCAGAGGUUUGAUGCUAUUGUCACGGUGGGGAGCAUGGCAGCACCCAGGCAGACAUGAUGUUGGAGAAGCAGCUGAGAGCUCUACAUCUGGAUCAGCAGACCGUGGGAAGAGAGAGUGACAAUGGGCCUGGCUUGAGCAUCUGAAACCUCAAAGCCCAGCUCCAAUGACACAUGUCUUCCCUCAAGGCCACACCUCCUAAUUGUGCCACUCCCUCUGAGCCUAUGGGGGGGCAUUUUUGUUCAAACUGCCACAGUGAGGGAUACCUUUGUCCCUCUGUGCCUCCCUUUUCCUUACUACAGCCUUUCCUUCCCUCUUACUGGGAAAUAUGUAAGCAUAAAAAAAAAUAUUUUUCUGGUCCCCAGCUUCACGUCAGAGAGGAAGAACAUGAGUGUCAUCUGAAUAGUCUAGACAAAGAUACCCAUGGUUACUGUCAAUUUGAAUGUAAUAGAAAUAUGUGUGGGUCAUGGAUAAUUUGCACGUUACUCCCUUAUGCACAUGAAAAUACAUGUGCGAAAAAGUGGGUUUUGUGAGCCAAGGGACCCUAUGAUAAAUGCACCAUUUGCAGCCAACAAGGAAGACAGAACAUGUCCCCAGAUCUAGCUGUCUCCCUUGGAUGGAAUCUGGAGAGUUCCUUGGCUGGAUCCCUAAGAACCAUCUUUAUUUGCAAUUUUAAAUUUGCUAAGGAUUGGUUUAACAGUCCUCAAAGAUCUCCCUGUGAGUGCCCGUCUAUACCUGAAGUCCCCUUGACUUUGUUGCUGGUAGAUUACUAACCCUCUCCCUACCCUGGGGCCAGAGGGAGAGCAGCUGCUAGAGCGUGGCUUAUGGCUUGCCUAACUUGCCAGAGCACAGAUCUCACCAGCUUCUUCCACCUUUCCCCUGGUCCACAUCUGCUUACUUUUACCUGUGGUAAUUAGGCAUCCUUCUCUGCUACUGAACCUCCCCUCUUGUCACAGGCAUGCCACCUCAGGGGACAUUAGAUCAUGACAUCUUUCCACCUAGUUGAGUAGGAGAUUAAGUUUUUCCCAAUAGGCUCGUUUUCCUAGAGCUACCCCCACCAGACAGGCCAUGCCUUCCAAAACAGAAACGAGAAGCCUAAGUGAAAACUUGCAAGGAUGCUAACUUUCUUUAGGACCUAAGCUUUUUAUAUCUCCACCAAUCCUGUCUCAGAGGAAGACGGUGUUGCCCCCGAGACUGGCAGAGUGCAUGCACUCAUUGCUCAUUUACGAUUGUAUCCAUGAGUCCAACCCAAAAGGCUCUGCAAAGGUUCAGAUACGUUGAAUAGAGAGCAAACCUAAACACCACGCUCACAGUCUCUUGAAUCACACUGCAGCCAUACUCCAGUGUGCCGCCAACUGUGGACAGUAGUAUUUGCAAGGAUAAGAAAGAGUCUGGGUCAAGUAGAGAGAAAGACUGUGGCAGGUUCAUGGGUCGUGAUCAUGACACCAUCUGUUAUACAGACUGCCUAGAUAAUGCAGUCCGUCUAGAAGAGGCUGAGGCUGCCGUGGGAAGGCCUUGGGAGACUUUCAGUUUGGGAGACAGCAAUAUCUUGAGCUGCCAGCGGGAACUCUGGGCAAUGCUUUGGUUGUCGUUAGGUUGUUGUGGUUAUACAGACUGCCUAGAUAAUGCAGUCCGUCUAGAAGAGGCUGAGGCUGCCGUGGGAAGGCCUUGGGAGACUUUCAGCUUGGGAGACAGCAUUAUCUUGAGCUGCCAGCAGGAACUCUGGGCAAUGCUUUGGUUGUCGUUAGGUUUAGGAUUGUUAAAGUCACAUUUUAUCCAGCUGUCUUUGAGGGUGACCAGACCUCACAAAGCCAACAGUCCCUAACUGGGUGUUGUCUGGCAUUGCAGAAUGCCAGAGAAAACUGUUCAGCUUCCUUGACUUGAAUAUUCUCAGAACCAGGCAAGGAUCUUUGUAUCCUCCUCUCUUCACAGCUUUUAAUUCGUUUAGCAGCGGUUUGCAAACCAAGUUCUACGGGGCAAUCAAUGUUCCAUGCCCUAACUAGUGGUUAUGUGCUAAUGCAUUCUGCCACUAAAACAGAAUAAAGGAAGUUAUGUUUCAAUUCGCAGAGAAAACACAGUUGCAAAGUGGCCCUAUAAGGGACGCUUCCAUAAGUGUUUGCAGCCCUUUAACAUCCAAGUGAACGAUUAGUUCAUAAAAAUAAAAAAACAGGACAUAUUAAUUAAAAUGACUAAAAAUAUGCCUCUUAGCUAAAGCCAACAUUCAUGUGGGCAAUUCAGUCCAUUGCUGUCUGGCUUUAGCUUUGCCAUUCAUGAAAUGUGCAUGUAAAAGUACUUAGCAUUGAAUAAUUUUCUUAAAUGAUAUAAUUUAGAAAAUAUUUUAGUAGUAAUUUGUACAUGUUACACACUCAAAAAUAACCCCGUUUUAAUCAAUAUGGAUACUUCAGGAGUAUAAGGCAAGAAAAAGAAAUAAGAGAGAUUCAAAUAGGAAAGAGUCAAUUACCUGUGUACAGGCAAAAUAAUACUGUACUUACAGUUCUAUAAACUCAUUAAGAAACUCUUAGUUCUGAUCAAUACAUUCAGCACACAAAAGUCAAUAAUGGGCCAGCAAGAUGGCUUAGCAGGUAGAGGUGCUUGCCACCAAGCAUAACCUGAGCUUGAUCCCUGUUCUCAUGGAGAGGAAGGAAAGAAUUAGCUCUUGGAAGUUAUCCUCUGACCUCCACAUGUACCCUGGCAUUGCCCUAUAAACAGACAAACACACAAACAAAUAAAUACAGUGGUAAUUUAAAAGCCCUCAGCUUUUCUACAUACCAUUAGCAGAUGUGCUGAGAAAGAAAUCAUGGGGAAAGUCUCACUCAUGGUAGCCACAAAGAAAAACAAGCAAGGAAACAAAACUCUCCUGAAGAAAUCUAACAAAGGAGGUGGAAGAUCUCUACAAUGGAGGACCUCUACGUAGAAAGAUGUGCUAUGCUCCUGGAGCAGCAGAAUUAACAUUGUGAAAUGCCUAUUCCUCAGCAAAGUUCCAACAGCAUUCUUCACAGAAAGAGAAAACAAUCCUAAAGUUCACAUAGAAGCACAAAGACUCCAAAUAACCAAAUCUAUCGAGAGAAAAACAGCAAGCCAACCAACCAAUCAGCUUUCGUUUAAUCAAGGUUUUACUGCUGUGAACAGACACUAUGACUAAGGCAACUCCUUUGAGGACAACAUUUAAUUGAGGCUGGCUUACAGGUUCAGAGGUUCAGUCCAUUUUCAUCAAGGUAGGAGCAUGGCAGCAUCAAGUAGGCUUGGUGCAGGAGGAGCUGGGAGUUCUACCUCUUGUUUCUAAAGCAGCUAGAAGAAUACUGACUCCCACAUGGUUAGAAGGAGGGUCUCAUUGCCUAUCCUCCAUUGACAUAUUUCCUCCAAAAAGGCCAUACCUACUCCAACAAGGCCACAACUCCUGAUAGUGCCACUCCCUGGGCCAAACAUAUUCCAACUACCACACCAACCAACCAACCAACCAACCAACCAACCAACCAACCAACCAGCAAACAAACAAAAAGCCUGCAUUGGGGGUAUCACAAUACCUAAUUUCAAACUAUACUGUUUAUCUUUAUUAACAGAAGCAUUAUGAUACUGAUAGAAAAACAGACGUAUUGAGUAACUCCAUGAGCAUAGCACUUCUUUCUAUGUAGAGGUCCUUCACUGUGGAGAGCCAUCAUCUCCUUUGUUAGAUUUCUAUUUGUUUUCUCCAUUUGUUUUCUUGUUUCUAGUUUUAGUUUGUGGCUAUUGUAGCAAUUUGAUUUUCAACCAAAGGGGAAAAACAAACAAACAAACAAACAAACAAACAAACAAACAAACUACACUGGGAACAGAAACACAAAUGGUGUUGAGGAAAACGAGGUAUCUGCAUGUAGAAGGGAAACAUUAGAUUCCUGUCUCUUACCCCACCAAAAAAUGUAUCAAAGACUUAAGGCAAAGCCCAGAGCUUUGAAUUGAGACACAGUUGUGAGCAGCAACCCAAUGCUGGGCAUGUGGGAGACAAAGUUUUUCUGCCCUGCAUGUUCAAUCAGUGUAGGUCUGGGCAAGUGACUCAGGUCUCAUAAGGGAGGCAGUCUGAGAAAUAAAGGUAUCUAUGGCCAUCUCUCCAUACUCCAUUGAGCUGCUCAGGCCCAAGUGACUGAUGAAAUACACCGUUAAUGCCACCUGCUCACGUGGUGUUAAGUUCAUGUUCUUUUUUUUUUUUUCCGGAGCUGGGGACCGAACCCAGGGCCUUGCGCUUCCUAGGCAAGCGCUCUACCACUGAGCUAAAUCCCCAACCCCUAAGUUCAUGUUCUUAAGCCCCAGUUUCUGCAGCUUUUGAUUGCAGAGGAGUUUAUAAGCAAGUGUUCACUGGGCCCUGAGUAUGAGUCCUAUACUUGGCCAGGAGCUUUGAGUGUUAGCUACAAAUAAGGAAAACAUAUAUUCAAUGGUUCUAACUUUAAAGACAUUAUAAUCUAGCUGCAGAGACUAUAGUGGUGCAAAUUAAUCAAGUUUGGGGAAAAUUCAGAAUGAUGCAAAUGUUUUGUAAAUAGGUAAAACUGUUGUCUGGAUCCAUAUAGAUAUAAAGACGUAGAGUAUAAUACACUCACACAUGCAACUCUGUCAUACAAAUUAGGAAGAAUUGGAUAAAUGAACCAAUAUGCGUCUGUGGGUUUAAAAUUUUCUAUUGCAAUAACUUCCUAUAGUUCAAGCUCAUUUUCAAAAAAAAUUUCAAAUAGUCUAUUUCUGCAACUCUCUUUGAAAAGACUCUCUUUUACAAAAUACAAUAUUUCUCUGAAAUAUUUGUUCUCAAGGCCUUUCAAAACCACAACAGAAGUGGUUAUUACAAUUGCAGAAAGUUUGAGUAUACUGUGAUAAAUGUCCUCAGUUUCUAACCUGAGCAUGCAUGAGGCCCUGGCUACUUGUCUCUCACAGGCUGCCAUUCUCCCAACACCUUGCUACCUGCUUUGCAAUAUGCAGUUCAGUCUGGUUCUACCAUUCACUCAAAGGCUAGGAGUUUCAACAGUCAGCCCUUUGGUUUCUAAUAUGCUCAGAUGAACUAUAAUGAUCCUGUGGGGGGUCUGAACCUGCUUAGCUCAGGGAGGGGCGUUAUUAGGAGGUGUGGCCUUGAUGGAGGAAGUGUGUCAAUGUGGGUGGUGGGCUUUGAGACCCUCCUCCUAGGUUGCUCAGGCUUCCUUUAGAUGAAGAUGUAGAACUCUUAGCUCUUCCUGCACCAUGCCUGUCUGGACGCUGCCAAGGUCCUGCCUCGAUGAUGUUGCACUGAACCUCUGAACCUAUAAGCCAGCCCAAAUUAAAUGGUGCCCUUUACAAGAGUUGUCUUGGUCAUGGUCUCUCUUCACAGCAAUGAAACCCUAACUAACACAGAAGUUGGUGCCAGGGACUAGGGGAUUGCAAUGAUAGGCCCGACCAUGCUUUUGUUUGGAGGAAUGGGGAUUUGAGACUUUGGAAAGCAGUGGAGUGCUUUAAGUGGUGCUUAAUGUCUCUCCUAGUAAGAAUAUGGAAGACUUUGUUGUUAAGAGUGGUUAGAACUGUGGAAGCCUGGCUAUAGAGGUUUCAGAGGAGGAGAGUUUUAGCAUGUGGCCUGUUUUUGUGAUAUUUUGGUGAGGAAUGUAAUUGCUUUUUGCCCUUGUCUGAAGAGUCCGUCUGAGGCUAAAGUGGAGAGACUCAGAUUAAUUGCACUGACAAAGGAAGUCUCAAAACAACCCAGUUUAUACUUUGUGUUGUGGUUUAGUCUCAUGAAGAGCAUUUUGAUGAAGCAUGGCAAGCUUAAAAAGAAAAAAAUACAAAAUAUAUGAUUCAAGUAUUGAAGGAGCACAAGAAAAAAGAAUAGACCUGAAUCUUAUGUUCUAGGAAAUAAACAAAUUGAGGGAGUGGUGACUUUGAAAGAAGUUCAGACAUGGUAUUACACAUCUUUAAUCCCAGGAGACAGCCCAGCAGAUGUCUAAGUUCAAUGUCAACCUACAGAGCAAGUUUUAGGACAGACAAGCUUAGGCAUUAAAGGAGUUGGAAAACAGAAGGCUAGUGAUAAUGUAAUAGAACAAGGGAACCAUGUUUUAACCACAGCAAGGAGCAGAAGUCAGCAGCUUUGACCAUGCGACUCUGGCUUUAGAAUCAAGAGUAGAAAGAGAAUGCUGGGACACUUGAUGCUGGUCAGCCGGAGCUAAGAAAUUAGUGGUUUUUAAGAAGAGACCAGCAUCACUGAGGCAAAAUCUUCUGGGAAAUAUUUUCUGAGAGUACAAAGAAGUAGCCAUGGUUGUAUUCUGUGCUUAGACUUGGUAAUAUGUAAUAAUCGUCAGGUAGUACUGCUUUUUUGAAGUCAUGAAGGGGUCAUGGAGAGCACCUGAAAGUUGGCACUGUGAGAGGCCAUGGAAAGCCACUGGUGAAGGUGCACACCCAGUUGCAGUUGACGGCCCAGAACUGAAAGGGUCAUGCAAAGAAGUUCAGGCUUAGCACCAUGAAGAGGGCCUAUGAGAGGCUGUUGUUGAAGCCUAGUUCCAGUGGAAGAUCCCAGGGUACUGGAGAUGCCAGUGUCGUGGGAUGAUCACCAAGAACAGCAGCAACAGUGGAGCAGAGUCAACCAAAACCGAGAGUGUUACAGAGAGCAGAACUGGAGAAGUGACCCAAGCUCUUUUGAGAAUCCCAGACGUUCAUGUGUGCCUAUCAGAUAUCGGAACAAGAAGCUGUACCAUUGAAGUUGACUUGGGUAUCCCAAGAUGUUAAAAUUGCCAGAGCCAUGGGACACCUGCCAAGAAAAGCUGCUAAGGGGGUGGGACCAGCCCAGGAGAGAGAGAAGUCUUUUGCAGUCAACAAAGAUGAAAGGAGUUGGAGAAAUGAAGAUUGUAAACCAGACAUGGAGAUGCAGAGUUCGGAAUUCACCCAGCUGGUUUUUUUGGUCUUGUUUUGGUUCUAGCAUUUCCUCACUAUAACAUUUUGGGAUAGUAAUUUAUAUACUGCGAUGUUGGAGGUGUGGGAUCUGUUUUUUUAUUCUUGAUUUUAUAGGCGAUCACAGUGAAGUGAUUAGAUGAACAUCAGAAUAGACUUUGAAAUUUGGACUUCUAACAUUUUGGGGAUGGUUAUAAACUAUGAGGACUUUCGAAGUUGAACUAAAUGUUUUAGCAUUAUUCUAUGCUUUGGUAUGUGUCCCUUAUGUGUUUGAACAAACCUACAGGGACCAUGGAGUGGAAUGUGGUGGUUUGACUAUGCUUGGCCCAGGGAUUAGGAGAUGUGGCCUUGUUGGAGUGGGUAUGGCCUUGUUGGAGAAAGUUUGUCACUGUGUAAGUGGGCUUUGAGGUCUCCUAGUGCUCAAACUCUACCCAGUACUGAAGAGACCUCCUCCUUGCUGAAGACAGUCUCUUCAUGGUUGUCUUCAGAUCAAGAUGUAAAGGUCUUGGCUCCUUCAGCACCAUGCCUGCCUGCACACUGUCAUUUUCUUGCUUUGUUGAUAAUGGACUGGACCUCUGAACCUGUACGCCAGUCCCAAUUAAAUGUUAUCAUUUAUAAGUGUUUCCUGACUCAUGGUAUUUCUUUAUAGCAAUGGAAACCCUAAGUAAGUCAGAUCCUAUUGGUGAUUUCAUAUCACUUCCUGGCAUAUAUACUCCAAACAUAUUUGACUAUUGGAACGAAUUGGAAGCAAAGUGAGAGAGCAGGAGGGGAGUCCAUUGUGACACUCUGGACUCAUAUUGGACAGCCCCUUACAUUUCUUUAUUGUGCAUGUAGUAAGACAGUUUCCUGCUAAUUAAUAGGAAUUUUGAUUUAAGGGUUUAAGGCUAUGUUUUAGGACAAAUAUUCAGGACAAAUUCUUCAGUUGAAUACGCUUGAAAGACAAGUUGCUUAAUUUAUUGUUUCUUUUCUUGCCUUCUUUGAGUAAUUAAAUUUAGAUGACUUGUAAUCCUGAUUAGGGGUAAGCUGUUUGUACUUGAAAAUACCAUGCUGGUUUUCAUAAGACAUAUUUGUGUUCUGUUGUAGUGAUUAUAGCACAAACCAAGACUGAAAAGUCAGAUCAGGGUUGGAAGCAGUUAGCAGAUGCAGGUGG